rnacentral:rRNA from 1 species
AACGAACGCUGGCGGCGUGGAUUAGGCAUGCAAGUCGAACGUGAUCCAGGAGUGUAGCAAUACAAACCUGGUGAAAGUGGCGGAAGGGUGAGUAACGCGUGGGCAAUCUGCCUUCAAGUUGGGGAUAGCUCUGCGAAAGCGGAAUUAAUACCGAAUGUGGUCGUGCCGCCUAGGCGGCAUUAUCUAAAGCCGGGGGACCCGCCGCGA